rnacentral:rRNA from 1 species
GCUGCAUGAGAGUCUGACGGUGCACGCCGCGUGAGUGAUGAAGGUUUUCGGAUCGUAAAACUCUGUUGUUAGGGAAGAACAAGUACCGUUUGAAUAAGGCGGUACCUUGACGGUACCUAACCAGAAAGCCCCGGCUAACUACGUGCCAGCAGCCGCGGUAAUACGUAGGGGGCAAGCGUUGUCCGGAAUUAUUGGGCGUAAAGCGCUCGCAGGCGGUCUUUUAAGUCUGAUGUGAAAGCCCACGGCUCAACCGUGGAGGGUCAUUGGAAACUGGAGGACUUGAGUGCAGAAGAGGAGAGUGGAAUUCCACGUGUAGCGGUGAAAUGCGUAGAGAUGUGGAGGAACACCAGUGGCGAAGGCGACUCUCUGGUCUGUAACUGACGCUGAGGAGCGAAAGCGUGGGGAGCGAACAGGAUUAGAUACCCUGGUAGUCCACGCCGUAAACGAUGAGUGCUAGGUGUUAGGGGGUUUCCGCCCCUUAGUGCUGAAGUUAACGCAUUAAGCACUCCGCCUGGGGAGUACGGCCGCAAGGCUGAAACUCAAAAGAAUUGACGGGGGCCCGCACAAGCGGUGGAGCAUGUGGUUUAAUUCGAAGCAACGCGAAGAACCUUACCAGGUCUUGACAUCCUCUGCCAGCGGUAGAGAUACCGUGUUCCCUUCGGGGACAGAGUGACAGGUGGUGCAUGGUUGUCGUCAGCUCGUGUCGUGAGAUGUUGGGUUAAGUCCCGCAACGAGCGCAACCCUUGAUCUUAGUUGCCAGCAUUAAGUUGGGCACUCUAAGGUGACUGCCGGUGACAAACCGGAGGAAGGUGGGGAUGACGUCAAAUCAUCAUGCCCCUUAUGACUGGGCUACACACGUGCUACAUGGAUGGAACAAAGGCAGCGAGCGCAGUGUAGCAA